UUCCAGCUGACGAGUCGUAAACGAGACGAAACAUGCGUCUUGGAU
rnacentral:hammerhead_ribozyme from 1 species